ACUCAAAGGAAUUGACGGGGACCCGCACAAGCGGUGGAUGAUGUGGUUUAAUUCGAUGCUACGCGAAGAACCUUACCCAGGCUUGACAUCCUGCGAAUCUGUUGGAAACAACGGAGUGCCUUCGGGAGCGCAGUGACAGGUGUUGCAUGGCCGUCGUCAGCUCGUGUCGUGAGAUGUUUGGUUAAGUCCAUUAACGAGCGCAACCCUUAUCGUCUGUUACAAUUUCAGGCGAGACUGCCCCGGCCAACGGGGAGGAAGGUGGGGAUGAGGUCAGGUCAGCAUGGCCCUUACGCCUGGGGCUACACACGUCAUACAAUGGCCGGUACAACGCGUUUGCCAACCCGCGAGGGGGAGCUAAUCGUAUCAAAACCGGUCCCAGUUCGGAUUGGAGGCUGCAACUCGCCUCCAUGAAGUUGGAAUCGCUAGUAAACGUGGGUCAGCAUACCACGUUGAAUACGUUCCCGGGUCUUGUACACACCGCCCGU
rnacentral:rRNA from 1 species